AGAGUUUGAUCCUGGCUCAGGAUGAACGCUAGCGGCAGGCCUAAUACAUGCAAGUCGAACGGAUGCAGCAAUGCAUUAGUGGCGCACGGGUGCGUAACGCGUAUGCAACUUACCUGUUAGUGGGGAAUAGCCCGGGGAAACCCGGAUUAAUACCGCAUAAGAUGAAAGGUUGGCAUCAACCUUUCCUGAAACAUUUAUGGCUAACAGAUGGGCAUGCGUCCCAUUAGCUAGUUGGUAGUGUAACGGACUACCAAGGCGAUGAUGGGUAGGGGUUCUGAGAGGAAGAUCCCCCACACUGGUACUGAGACAGGGACCAGACUCCUACGGGAGGCAGCAGUAGGGAAUAUUGGGCAAUGGAGGCAACUCUGACCCAGCCAUGCCGCGUGCAGGAAGAAGGCCUUCUGGGUUGUAAACUGCUUUUGGAAGGGAACAAAAUGGGCAUGCGUGCCAACUUGAGUGUACCUUCAGAAUAAGCACCGGCUAACUCCGUGCCAGCAGCCGCGGUAAUACGGAGGGUGCAAGCGUUGUCCGGAUUUAUUGGGUUUAAAGGGUGCGUAGGCGGCCAUGUAAGUCAGGGGUGAAAGACUGCAGCUUAACUGUAGCAGUGCCUUUGAUACUGUGUGGCUUGAGUGUAGCUGAGGCAGAUGGAAUGGGUGGUGUAGCGGUGAAAUGCAUAGAUACCAUCCAGAACACCGAUUGCGAAGGCAGUCUGCUAAACUACAACUGACGCUGAGGCACGAAAGCGUGGGGAUCGAACAGGAUUAGAUACCCUAGUAGUCC
rnacentral:rRNA from 1 species